AUUGAUUUUAUGCUUGCAUAAAUGAUUUUUGGAUUCGGAGCGAGUGGCGAACUGGUGAGUAACACGUGGGUAACCUGCCCCGAAGCGGGGGAUAACAUUUGGAAACAAGUGCUAAUACCGCAUAAUUAGUUGGAACCGCAUGGUUCCAACUUGAAAGAUGGCUCUGCUAUCACUUUGGGAUGGACCCGCGCCGUAUUAGUUAGUUGGUGAGAUAAAAGCCCACCAAGACGAUGAUACGUAGCCGACCUGAGAGGGUAAUCGGCCACAUUGGGACUGAGACACGGCCCAGACUCCUACGGGAGGCAGCAGUAGGGAAUCUUCCACAAUGGACGAAAGUCUGAUGGAGCAACGCCGCGUGAGUGAUGAAGGUUUUCGGAUCGUAAAACUCUGUUGUUAAAGAAGAACAAGUGUUAGAGUAACUGUUAACACUUUGACGGUAUUUAACCAGAAAGCCACGGCUAACUACGUGCCAGCAGCCGCGGUAAUACGUAGGUGGCAAGCGUUGUCCGGAUUUAUUGGGCGUAAAGCGAGCGCAGGCGGUUUUGUAAGUCUGCUGUGAAAGCCCUCAGCUCAACUGAGGAAGUGCAGUGGAAGCUACAAAACUUGAGUACAGAAGAGGAAAGUGGAACUCCAUGUGUAGCGGUGAAAUGCGUAGAUAUAUGGAAGAACACCAGUGGCGAAGGCGGCUUUCUGGUCUGUUACUGACGCUGAGGCUCGAAAGCAUGGGUAGCGAACAGGAUUAGAUACCCUGGUAGUCCAUGCCGUAAACGAUGAAUACUAGGUGUUGGAGGGUUUCCGCCCUUCAGUGCCGCAGCUAACGCAUUAAGUAUUCCGCCUGGGGAGUACGACCGCAAGGUUGAAACUCAAAGGAAUUGACGGGGGCCCGCACAAGUGGUGGAGCAUGUGGUUUAAUUCGAUGCUACGCGAAGAACCUUACCAGCUCUUGACAUCUUCUGCCAACCCAAGAGAUUGGGCGUUCCCUUCGGGGACAGAAUGACAGGUGGUGCAUGGUUGUCGUCAGCUCGUGUCGUGAGAUGUUGGGUUAAGUCCCGCAACGAGCGCAACCCUUAUUAUUAGUUGCCAGCAUUUAGUUGGGCACUCUAGUGAGACUGCCGGUGAUAAA
rnacentral:rRNA from 1 species